rnacentral:lncRNA from 1 species
CAACAAAAUCAUCUCUAUCGCGGGAAUAUAAAAUGCAGACGAAAAGAAACCCACGAAAUUCCUGCGUGUCACACAUCGGGCGACACUUCCGAGAGGCGGGCCUUUUCCUACGGAUCGUUCCCACGGGUCCAGCCGCACAACCCGACUACUUUCUCCUUUGCCUGCUGCAGUGCGUCCAGGUGAGCAGAUUUUGAAGAAAACGCUGAUGGUUGCAUACUAACAACUCAAAAAAUUAGGCCCUCCCUAAUCUGGGGCCCUGUGCGAUCGCACCGGCCGCACUCCCAUCGGCCCGAUCGCACUGACAGUCAAGCUCUAGCAGAAGGACAUUGUUAACCAUCCGGGACAUUGGUCUAUUAGAGUUUAUCUUUCUCAAAUUAUAUCUACCCAUUCUAAGCUGAAUUUCCAGAUUUAUACACUCAUAACGAUAAUAAUACUCUUACUCAUCAGCUUGCCAGGGCAGCAAAGAAUAGACGUCGCUGUUAAUGAAUAAAAUUCUCUUCUUAAAAAAAAAAAGUCAGACGGAGCAACAAAUUAUAAAGGGGAACCGGGGAAGCAGGCCGGCCGUACGUAGGGGCCCCUUUCAAGCAGCGAGAGACCGAAGCCCCUGUUCCUCCAUGGCCUAGGCCUAGCCAUUGGUGGAUGGAUCUUUCUUAUUACCAGACGGAGCUGCGGGGUUGUGGCGCCCGCUAGCACUCCUUCGAGCUUUCAAUCAUUGCCACAUUUGAGUUAAUAUCGGUGCAAACUGUUGCCCUGUCAUACGUACUCCACACAACGAGUUAAGCACAUAUGACAUCAUCAGCAACACAGCAAGCCCUAGGCCAGCCGCUUUUUUUUCGACACUGUAUGAGUGUGUGUUUUUUUUUCUUUGAGGAAGAAGCUAUCGGCAUGACCACUGCGCCUGCGUCUACAGUGCUUGGA